UCUAAAGAGAAGAGACUCCUGUGCUAGGUUGGCAUCAAUAUUUCCACAGUUUUAUUAAUCAGGAUUCGGACAACCAGAUCCUUUCUCAAGGGGAGUUGUACUUACACAUGCCUGUUUUAUCAGAGAUCUACACCAGAGGGCAGUCUGGGUGCUCUGUUCUAGAGACACUCUUUUUUCCUAGAGUGCACAGCUGAGUAAUGGGUCUUCUCACGGUGUUUUCCUGAGUAAUGAAAGAGGAAGAAAUGAUUGCCGUCUUGCUGCUGCUGUCUUACUUAGGAAACGUGAGCUCUUCAAAUGUGCUUGAGGUAUCUAUCCUGGCGGUGCUUUGUGAGAUCCAGAAGAAUCUGCAGACAAGGCAAAGAGAGCAAACAUUUACUGAGUGUCUACCACUCUCCUUUUCAUAUAUGGGGAGACUGAGGCUCAAAGAAAUUAAAUGAUUUUCCCAAGGUCUCCAGCUGUAAAAUGUCUCUGAUUCUGAAGCAGAUCUUGCUCGCAUGCCACAUGGAGCAUAUUUUAUACAUAAGAGAGUGUCCAAUGAAUCAAAGUUGAUAGGAGUGAAUGGUGAAAUAUUUUUAUCAUUUUAGGUUUAGCUUGAAUCGGCUUCACUUUUAGAUUUAGUGUACAGUGUAUGGGAAGUCGAGGAGCUAAACAAUCUAAAUGGCACCAUGAAGAAACAAUCAGACAAAGCCAGGCUGUAGAAGAAAGACAAUCAUCUCGGUCACUUCAAAAAGCUAAUGUCAUGGUGAAAAAUGUCAGAAUACUCUUCUAGAUUAAAAGAGAUUGAAAAGACAAAUUAACAAAGGCAAUACGUAAACUUUAUUUGGAUCCUGGUUCCAAAUGGAACCAUAUAAGAUAUUUUGGGAAGAAUUGAGGAAAUACGAGUAUGGACUAGAUGUUAGAUGACAUUAGAGAUUAUUAUUGGUUGUCUAAGUGUGAUAAUGGUACUGUGGUUAUGCAGGAAAGCAACCUUAUUCUUGGAGAUAUGUGCUAAAGUAUUUAGGAGUGAAGUAUCGUGAUAUCUGCCCUUUAAUUUCAAAGGAUGGAGAAAAAAAUUAUCUGUGUCUGCAUGUAUAAAAUAUCAAUUGCUGAAUCUAGGUGAUGAGUAUGUAGGCAUUCCUUACACUCUUCUUUCAACUUUUCUGUGCAUUUAGAUUUUUCAUAGUGUAAAGUGAAAAUAUACAAAUUAAAAAAAACUUGAUUGGAUUAAGUUGCCUCUGAAUGGUGAAGAGGGAGCUGCCCUAAAUAGGGUCAAAGCAUUUUGAAAUUCCUUUUAAAUUUCCUUUUAAAUUAAAUUUCCUUUUAAAUUAAAACUGUGGAUAGACUUACAUAACUAAGAGUACGUAAUUCUAGGAGCCAGCCUCAUGGCCCAGUGGUUAAGUUCACACACUCUGCUUCAGUGGCCCAGAGUUUCACCGGUUUGGAUCCUGGACGCUGACCUAGCACUGCUCCUCAGGCCAUGCUGAAGCGGUGUACAACACAGGAGAAGUAGAAGGACCUACAACUGGAAUAUACAACUAUGUACUGGGUGGCUUUGGGGAGAAGAAGAAGGAAAAGAAAGAUGGGCAGCAGAUGUUAGCUCAGGGCCAAUCUUUAAAAAAAAAAUAGAAUAUGGAAUUCUAGGAUAGUAAAUGUAGAAAAUUUUUUAAAGGAUAAGUGUAUAUAAUUACAGUCACGUAAAAAUACAUUUGCAGGUUGACAAGAGCUAGAAAUAUAUCUGUUAGGUUAAUGGAUCUAGAGGGGAUCUUUUUAAAAAAAUUAUGUACUCUCACUAUAUCAUCUUUUCUACUAAUGUAAUUGUCAAAAAGUAUGCUCAUAGACCAAGACAGAAAAAGACUAUAACUCUUUUGCUAUGGUGUGGGGUUACAGAUGAAUAUUUUUCUUUUAAGAGUCAUCCUUGAAGCCCAAUGUAAAGAAAUAUUCUGCAUUUUUAUCAUCCGUAAAUGCACUGAAUUUACUGCAUUACUAAAAGCAAAUCAUUGUGGGAACUUCAGCUUUGUAAUUCUAGCACGGUUUGAGAGACCUGGGAAAAAUAAAAAUAAGCGAAAAUUAAAGAGUUAAAAAUAA
rnacentral:lncRNA from 1 species